CUCUCUCUCUCUCUCUCUCUCUCUCUCUCUCUCUCUCUCUCUCUCUCUCUCUCUCUCUCUCUCUCUCUCUCUCUCUCUCAUGCUAUAAUGAACUGCAUCCAAAGGUUAUCAGGAUUAUCAGAUAAUUCACAAACUUAAUGACCAAGUUUUUAGUUCAUCCCAGUGUUAGUCUUUGCUUUGUCACUUUACCCUUCUCUCCACUGUUCCUGAUUUACCUCCUUCCUAUGACUUGAACUCUCAAAGGUGAAGUAUUAGGAAAUCACAAAUUAAACUAAACUCCCCACCCAUGUUUAGUUUAGGAGUGGAAAGUUGAGAACUUUCCUCUUCUAUUUCUACCCUCCCAUACUGAGUUGUUGACAUAGAUAAAGGAAGAAAUAGAGCAAGAGAAGGGUCCUGGUAGUAAUGUUUUGCAGACUUCACAUAUGUAUAGGAUUGAGUCAAGUACAGAAAGGUCUCAUUGUACAAACAUCCAUUAUAUGAUGAACCAAUGAUGGGAGAUCUGCAAAUUAGAGACUAUUUUCUUUACACAAACUUAAAAUACUAAUGGUUGAAGCUUCAGUGCAAGGCGAAUAAAGCAAAGUUUAUAAUACGCCUUCAUGCUCCCUACCACUGUAAGACCCAGGUGACUUGGGUGCUUGUAUCACUGGGACCUUUGUAGUGCAGCAGUGGUGUUACAAAGCUGCUGCGUUGCUUCUCCAGUGGAUGAACAGAGGGACCAGUUUUGCACCAGUUCCCUGGGCAGUGUUGCCGUGUCACUCCCUGCCCAGGUUUGGGAUGGUUGUGUGUUGUGUCAGACACUUUUGAUCUUGCAUUUAUGCCCAAAUGUAGAAGAAACAACAAGGAUGGUUAGUUUGUUUAUUAGUUCACCUUUGUAGCUUCCAGAUGGUUGUUAUUGAGAGAUUAGUGUGACCAUCUGUGUGUGUGUGUGUGUGUGUGUGUGUGUGUGUGUGUGUGUGUGUGUGUGUGUGUGUGUGUGUGUGUGUGUUUGUGUGUCUUGGGUGUACGAGGCUCUACAGAGGCUUAAUCUACCACAACACACCAAGAAAAUAACAAUUUGUGCUUGAAAUAAAUUACUGUACACUGACAAUACAAUUUGAUGCAAUAUUUGAACGCUAUUCCUGGUCAGUUGAGCUUUUUGAUGCUUGUGAUGGAGUGUUGGCUCAAGAUUCAGCUGAGUGUCUGUUGACAAUAUGGAAAUGUUUUGUUGUUAUCAUGGAGAGAGUGCAAAUGUGUUUGUGUGUAUGUAAGGUCAUAAUGUUUGCUGACAGAGAGAGAGAGAGAGAGAGAGUAUUUUUGUCAGAUUUGUGUGAAUGUUUUGAAAAUUUUAUCAGAGGUAAGGAAAUUAUCUAUUUAAUCUAUUUUAUUUGUUAUUAUUAUUAUUAUUAUUAUUUAUUUAUUUAUUUAUUUUUUUUUUUGCAUAAGGAGAGUGAGAAAACUGUGAGGCAUGAAAUAUUAUUGACAUUUAUUUACAUACUGUAUUAUUUUGCCAAUUUAUUAGUUGUUAUUCUAUGAGAAGAUAACAACAUUAGUUUGUGUGUGUGUUUUGCAAGUAGAGUGUUGGUGUGAGAGGCAUUGUGUCAGUGAUGAAGGAGCAGGAAUGGCUGUAGGUGACUGAUAGAGACACACACUACUCCUUUGCUCUAACAUAUCACAACCUCCACACACCGAAUGCCAAGCGAGGAUAAUGACAAUACUUGAUUUAUGUUGGAUAGAUUUAUCAGUUUUUAUUGAAGUAAUGUUGAAGGUGGAAAGACAGAAGUUAAAUUAAUAAGAAAACUUGAUGAUUCAUAUACAUUUGGUAGAUAUGAAAUGUUUGUAGUCUAUUUGAAGCUGUACUGAUGAAAUAAUAAGUGAAAUUAUAUAAGGAAAAUUAUGAUUCAUAUACAAUUGGUGAAUUUGAAACGUUUAUUGUAAUUUUAAAAGGUGUAGUGAUAAAAGAUGUGAAAUUUAUAAUGAAAUGAUAAUUCACUUACAGUUGAUAAAUUCUCUAAUUUAUUAAUGUGUCAUCAAUUAUAGACCUGAAAGUAAAACUAAUUAAGAAACGAUGAUUUAUAUAUUUAUCUUAUUUGUUUACUCAAUUCGUACUGUAAAUUCUCUAGCAUUCCAUUUGAUGUCUUUAUUUUUAUUUAUUUAUUUUGUGAAUUUAUUUUUUUGGUCUUGAAUAUAUUAGCAUAAUUAAUCAACAUUCCACAAAAUAUUUUUUUUUUUUUUUUUUUUUUUUUUUUUUUUUUUUUGUCUGUGCUUUUGAAGUGAUGAAUGUUUCUGUGCUAUCAUUUUAACUCACAGGUGUGUUUGUUGGUUCCUUAAAUGUGUGUGUGUGUGUGUGUUUAAUUGAGUGUUCUGGAAUCAUAUAUAAUUUAACACGGGUAAAAUACAUACAACAAUGCAGGUAGCCAUGUCCUUACACACACACACACACACACACACACACACACACACACACACACACACACACACACACACACACACACACACACACACACUUCAAAGUAACACUUACACACUUUUCCAAGCUGAUGCAGUGUUUGGAGUGUCUGGUGCGGAUGUAUGGUGAGGCUGAGAGGAGUGUGGUGGUGAUGGUGCCUGGAAGUAUUGGUUUGUGUGAUGACAUGGCUGUGGUGAGUGUGUGGUUGGUGGGAUGAGGUGGUAAUAUGUCUUGUUUUACUGGUGUGUGUGUGUCUGUUUGUGUGUGUGUGUGUGUGUGUGUGUGUGUGUGUGUGUGUGUGUGUGUGUGUGUGUGUGUGUGUGUAAGAGUGAGUGAAUGAUAGUGAGAGCGAGCCGUUGUGCCAGGUAGUCAGCCUGAGCAGGUCUUGCUGGGGCAUCGUGGCCGCUGCACCAUAACAACUCAUUCUCUGUAGAAUAUUUGAGUUUUGAGUCAGGGAUCUUCAUCUAUGCUUACGUUUAAGUUAUACGAUACAUGUAGUGGCGGGGCGGCCAGCCCUGCCGUAAGCAACAGUUGUCGGUAGUGCUGCAGCCUCACAGCCCACACGCUACACCUGAAUGUUGGUAGCCAAUAGCAGAGCAGUGUUCAAACAGUGUACAAAUUGUUAUGCAACUUGUAGAAAUAUUCAUGGUAUUUAGAAUAAAAUUCAUUGUGUCAAAUAUACUUGAAAAGUACCA
rnacentral:lncRNA from 1 species